rnacentral:rRNA from 1 species
AUUGAACGCUGGCGGCAUGCCUUACACAUGCAAGUCGAACGGUAACGGGCCUUCGGGUGCCGACGAGUGGCGAACGGGUGAGUAAUGUAUCGGAACGUACCUUUCAGUGGGGGAUAACGUAGCGAAAGUUACGCUAAUACCGCAUAUUCUGUGCGCAGGAAAGCAGGGGAUCGCAAGACCUUGCGCUGAUUGAGCGGCCGAUAUCAGAUUAGCUAGUUGGUGAGGUAAAGGCUCACCAAGGCGACGAUCUGUAGCGGGUCUGAGAGGAUGAUCCGCCACACUGGAACUGAGACAGGGUCCAGACUCCUACGGGAGGCAGCAGUGGGGAAUUUUGGACAAUGGGGGCAACCCUGAUCCAGCCAUGCCGCGUGAGUGAAGAAGGCCUUCGGGUUGUAAAGCUCUUUCGGCCGGGAAGAAAUCGUAUCAGCUAAUACCUGGUGCGGAUGACGGUACCGGCAUAAGAAGCACCGGCUAACUACGUGCCAGCCGCCGCUGUAA